rnacentral:rRNA from 1 species
CCCUUAGAUGUUCUGGGCCGCACGCGCGCUACACUGACGAAUGCAACGAGCUUAUAACCUUGGCCGAAAGGUCUGGGUAAUCUCCAAAUUUCGUCGUGAUGGGGAUAGAUUAUUGCAAUUAUUAAUCUUCAACGAGGAAUGCCUAGUAAGCGCAAGUCAUCAGCUUGCGUUGAUUACGUCCCUGCCCUUUGUACACACCGCCCGUCGCUCCUACCGAUUGAAUGGUCCGGUGAAGCGCGCGGACCGCGGCCUCUUGACGGUUUUCCGUCGAUUGGCUGUGGGAAGUUCGUUAAACCUUAUCAUUUAGAGGAAGGAGAANUCGUANCA